GGGGAUUUCGGGCUCCAGCAGCACGCAGCCUCCAGUCUUGAGUGACUCCUGGGCUUUGGCUCAGCAGUAACUCCUCCAUAAAAACAAGUGUGUGCAUCUGGCUGUUAGAAGAAUUCGUGCUCAUCCGGGAGAAAUGAGGAAGCCGUGAGUACCAGUGGAAGGACCAAGCCAGGAAGAGGGACUGGAACCAUCUCAGAAGCCGUUCCCCUCAGCCUGGAACUUGCCCUGUCUCCUCGCAGAUGAGGUAGGAGGCUCAGCACAGGCUGGCGGGAGCAGCCCACAGCAGCAGUGUGAGGGUCAGUGGGCCUGUGAGUUAAGAAGAAGGUGGCACAAAGCGAGGGUCUCUGGGUCCUGUUUGACUUUUCCAUGACUGGGAUAAGUAGCCAGGGCUUGGCUAGUUGGAGAGUUACUCGAACCUCAGAUGACAGUUGUAAGGCAGCACAUGGUGUAAAAGAGUCCUAGCCUGGGAAAGUCCAAAAUCUUGGGUCUGCUUUUCAGUUCACUCACCUAUCUCUGUGACAUAGCAAAGUCUCUUAACUUCUUUAAUUUUCCGAUUAGUGGUAUAGUUGCAGGAAUGAAAUAAAACUGGUCCUGAUUACUCAGAGAUUCAUUUAAAAUGAUUACUCUUUUUGUGAUCUGAAUAAAGAGUACAACAUCUCUCAAAAGGUAACAAUUUGAUAUUUCAGGAAAUUAGAGAAGUUAAGAGACUUUGCUGUAUUAUGCAGAUAGUUGACUGACUGCUGAGCCCAGACCCAAGAUUCAUUUAUAAAACAAAAGAGAAGUACAUACUCUGAGGUUUAUCCUAAAUAAACUAGUCUAGGUAAGUGGCUGAGCUAGGUUUGCCAUGAAUCAAUCUGCUGAGUAUAUUUCUUGGUAACUAGUUCAUCUUUCCUUAAUUCAGUCAACAAAUAUGAUACCAAGUUUAGUAAGAUGAUGACGGAUGUCAUGUAAUACUCCAUCUGGAAGACUGUGUGCUUCUCAGCUUCCCUAACUUUUCUUAAUCUACCUUAAGCUUCCCUUCUGAAAGGUUUCUGUCUUUCCUAACAGUCUCUUCUUACCGCCAGCUACCUCUUGUGUUUAAGAAUUUAAGGAAGAUGAGCUAGGAAUCAAGAAAUACCCAGAACUGAUUCCUGUCACUGGCCCCACCCUGCCACUUGCCCAGAGCUGUGGCAUAAAUUUUUUUAAUAGGCUGAAGUAAAGAUAUGAAUAGUAUUUUGGUAUUAAGCAUUGAUAAAAGUAAAGGCCAUGAGAUAUACCUGCUCUCACCAUGUUAAUUUUCUAUUAUUGGUAUUAAUAAAUUAUUACUUACUAACAUAUUAACAAGAAUUGCAUCGAGAAAAAAAGCAGCCACAGGCCAAAUCUUUUGAAUUUCAAAUGUUUAUAUUAAUGUAUUGUAUUCUAGAAAAGUAGAAUUGUCUUAAGUAGCUUUGUAAUAUAAAGUCAUCUAUCAGCCCAUGACACCUAUUAGAAUGUUUCAACCUUUGUCUCCCACUUUUUUGUUUCUAGACUGAGUGUACUUGGUCUGGUAUUUGUGGCAUAACUUACAGAACACAUAAGAAUGAUACAGAUACUACUUAAUGACGACCUAGUACAAGUUUAGAUAGCUAAGGUGAAAGCUUCUGUGGCCUUAACAUUUUCCUCUUGAAGAAUGUAUUUGCUGUAAUAAAAUACAGUGACUAUUUGAAAUCUAUAAACUUAUGUGAGGUCUGGAUAAAUCUGAGCAACUUUCUUUUUUGUGCUCCAGGAACCCAUGCACUAUAUAUACAAAUAAAGCUUAAGUAAACAUCACUGC